AACUGCGGAAAUACUGGAGCUAAUACAUGCCAACAGAGUCCCGACCGGCGACGGAAGGGACGCUUUUAUUAGAUCAAAACCAAUCGGCGGUCCUCGUGGCCGUCGUGAAUUUUGGUGACUCUGGAUAACUUUGGCUGAUCGCACGGCCUCCGUGCCGGCGACGCAUCUUUCAAAUGUCUGCCUUAUCAACUGUCGAUGGUAGGUUCUGCGCCUACCAUGGUUGUAACGGGUAACGGGGGAUCAGGGUUCGAUCCCGGAGAGGGAGCCUGAGAAACGGCUACCACAUCCAAGGAAGGCAGCAGGCGCGCAAAUUACCCAUUCCCGGUUCGGGGAGGUAGUGACGAUAUAUAACGAUACAGGACUCAUCCGAGGCCCUGUAAUCGGAAUGACUACACUUUAAAUCCUUUAAGGAGUACCAAUUGGAGGGCAAGUCUGGUGCCAGCAGCCGCGGUAAUUCCAGCUCCAAUAGCGUAUGGAAAUGUUGCUGCGGUUAAAAAGCUCGUAGUUGGAUCUGUGUCCCGCACCGUUGGUUCACCGCCCGUCGGUGUUCAACUGACGCGCUGCGGGACGUCCUGCCGGUGGGGCGCCAGCUGCCCGUUCGCGGGUGGGCGGCCCCGAGUCAAUCCCGUAUCGGUGCUCUUUAACGAGUGUCGACGCGGGCCGGCACGUUUACUUUGAACAAAUUAGAGUGCUCAAAGCAGGCUCACUUACGCCUGAAUGGUAGUGCAUGGAAUAAUGGAAUAGGACUUCGGUUCUAUUUUGUUGGUUUUCGGAACCAGAAGUAAUGAUUAAUGGAGACAGGCGGGGGCAUUCGUAUUGCGGCGCUAGAGGUGAAAUUCUUGGACCGCCGCAAGACGAACUGAAGCGAAAGCAUUUGCCAAGGAUGUUCUCGUUGAUCAAGAACGAAAGUUAGAGGUUCGAAGGCGAUUAGAUACCGCCCUAGUUCUAACCAUCAACUGUGUCAGCCAGCGAUCCGCCUACGGUAUCUUAUUUGCCUAGGCGGGCAGCUUCCGGGAAACCAAAGCUUUUGGAUUCCGGGGGAAGUAUGGUUGCAAAGCUGAAACUUAAAGGAAUUGACGGAAGGGCACCACCAGGAGUGGAGCCUGCGGCUUAAUUUGACUCAACACGGGAAACCUCACCAGGCCCAGACACUGGAAGGAUUGACAGAUUGAAAGCUCUUUCUUGAUUCAGUGGGUGGUGGUGCAUGGCCGUUCUUAGUUGGUGGAGCGAUUUGUCUGGUUAAUUCCGAUAACGAACGAGACU
rnacentral:rRNA from 1 species